ACGUGCCCGAUCGUGGGGGAUAACGAGGCGAAAGCUUUGCUAAUACCGCAUACGAUCUACGGAUGAAAGCGGGGGAUCUUCGGACCUCGCGCGGACGGAGCGGCCGAUGGCAGAUUAGGUAGUUGGUGGGAUAAAAGCUUACCAAGCCGACGAUCUGUAGCUGGUCUGAGAGGAUGAUCAGCCACACUGGGACUGAGACACGGCCCAGACUCCUACGGGAGGCAGCAGUGGGGAAUUUUGGACAAUGGGCGAAAGCCUGAUCCAGCCAUGCCGCGUGCAGGAUGAAGGCCUUCGGGUUGUAAACUGCUUUUGUACGGAACGAAAAGCCUCUUUCUAAUAAAGAGGGGUCAUGACGGUACCGUAAGAAUAAGCACCGGCUAACUACGUGCCAGCAGCCGCGGUAAUACGUAGGGUGCAAGCGUUAAUCGGAAUUACUGGGCGUAAAGCGUGCGCAGGCGGUUUUGUAAGACAGAGGUGAAAUCCCCGGGCUCAACCUGGGAACUGCCUUUGUGACUGCAAGGCUGGAGUGCGGCAGAGGGGGGAUGGAAUUCCGCGUGUAGCAGUGAAAUGCGUAGAUAUGCGGAGGAACACCGAUGGCGAAGGCAAUCCCCUGGGCCUGCACUGACGCUCAUGCACGGAAAGCGUGGGGGAGCAAACAGGAUUAGAUACCCUGGUAGUCCACGCCCUAAAACGAUGUCAACUGGUUUGUUGGGGUCUUCACUGACUCAGUAACGAAGCUAACGCGUGAAG
rnacentral:rRNA from 1 species